AAGGCUAAGGUGUGUUUGCCUUUGAGAGAAAAGAGCCAGACGGGACUGAGAGGUAAAGAAAAAAGCAUCAUAUGAGACACCAUGAAGAAAAUCAGCUCUGUCCCAGAUGAAAUCAGGACAAUGGGAUCCAGCCCUAUGGCAGACCACAACCCACGAGCACCCAGUACUGCCAAGCACCAGAAUUGUAAAUCUCUUGAAAAGCUGUUUUUCAAAAUGCUCCAGUCCAUCCUAUUACAUUAGAAUAUUAGUUUUC
rnacentral:lncRNA from 1 species